UGCAGCCAGUCUAGCUCUGUCAAUGAAUCCUCUACACACCUACACCUGCAGCUCUGCUGGAGCCGCCACAAGCCCUGGGGAUGAGGAAACUCAUGGAUGCAGAAUUCUGAGGACAUUGAGAGAAGAGCCAGAUUUCAAGUUGUUUGAACACGGAACAGAGAUAAUUGAAGAAGUACCUCCUCAGAAAAUUCAGCAGCUGACCAUGUCGUUUCCACAUGAUCUGGAUAGAAGCUUAAUUUAUAUGGACGUGUGUGCAUGUUUACACAGUUGCUAAACAUCUUGGAAGAAGAGUGGUUGUCUCUCUGUGCCACAGAAAUUUCUAACCUCCAUGGGAGUAGAGAUUUGAUGACUGGGACACCAAAGGUUCAGUGGGUUGUGACACCACAGGACAGGAAAAUGCAUGACCAGAAGCCUAGGCUGACAAGGGGGAAGUCUAAGAGCUGUUCUGUGAGGUUUUGCAUAGAAAUCAUCAUAACAAUAUGUUGGCUACUUGGAUUGAAAUUUAAGAAAAAGAAAUCAUUAUAACAGAGAGUUUCUUUUUAUUAGUUAAAAUAUUUUAAGA